UACUCGAGUGGCGAACGUGUGAGUAACACGUGGGUGAUCUGCCCUGCACUUCGGGAUAAGCCUGGGAAACUGGGUCUAAUACCGGAUAGUAGCCAUUUUAGUGUGAUGGUUGGAAAGUUUUUCGGUGUAGGAUGAGCUCGCGGCCUAUCAGCUUGUUGGUGGGGUAAUGGCCUACCAAGGCGGCGACGGGUAGCCGGCCUGAGAGGGUGGACGGCCACAUUGGGACUGAGAUACGGCCCAG
rnacentral:rRNA from 1 species